rnacentral:rRNA from 1 species
CCUACGGGAGGCAGCAGUGAGGAAUAUUGGUCAAUGGGCUUACGCCUGAACCAGCCAAGUCGCGUGAGGGAAGACUGCCCUAUGGGUUGUAAACCUCUUUUGUCAGGGAGCAAUUGGCGCUACGUGUAGCGUUAUCGAGAGUACCUGAAGAAAAAGCAUCGGCUAACUCCGUGCCAGCAGCCGCGGUAAUACGGAGGAUGCGAGCGUUAUCCGGAUUGAUUGGGUUUAAAGGGUGCGUAGGCGGAAUGCCAAGUCAGCGGUAAAAUCGCGGGGCUCAACCUCGCUCCGCCGUUGAAACUGGCGUUCUUGAGUGGGCGAGAGGUAUGCGGAAUGCGUGGUGUAGCGGUGAAAUGCAUAGAGAUCACGCAGAACUCCGAUUGCGAAGGCAGCAUACCGGCGCCCAACUGACGCUGAAGCACGAAAGCGUGGGUAUCGAACAGGAUUAGAUACCCCAGUAGUC